ensembl:snRNA U6 U6 spliceosomal RNA
GUGUUCACUUUGACAGCACAUAUAUUAAACUUGGAACCAUGCCGAGAAGAUUAGCCUGGCCCCGGCUCAAGGACGCCACACAAAUUCAUGGCGCGUUCCAUCCUUUU